rnacentral:rRNA from 1 species
AGAGUUUGAUCAUGGCUCAGGAUGAACGCUAGCGGCAGGCCUAACACAUGCAAGUCGAGGGGCAGCACGGGUAGCAAUAUCUGGUGGCGACCGGCGCACGGGUGAGUAACGCGUAUGCAACCUACCUCUAACUGGGAGAUAGCCCCGGGGAAACUCGGAUUAAUACCCCAUAACAUCUUGAAUUCGCAUGUUUUUAAGAUUAAAGUUCCGACGGUUAGAGAUGGGCAUGCGUGCCAUUAGCUAGUUGGUGAGGUAAAGGCUCACCAAGGCUACGAUGGUUAGGGGGCCUGAGAGGGUAGUCCCCCACACUGGUACUGAGACACGGACCAGACUCCUACGGGAGGCAGCAGUGAGGAAUAUUGGGCAAUGGACGCAAGUCUGACCCAGCCAUGCCGCGUGCAGGAUGACGGCCCUAUGGGUUGUAAACUGCUUUUUUACGGGACGAAACUUUCGCACGUGUGCGGAAUUGACGGUACCGUAGGAAUAAGCAUCGGCUAACUCCGUGCCAGCAGCCGCGGUAAUACGGAGGAUGCAAGCGUUAUCCGGAUUCAUUGGGUUUAAAGGGUGCGUAGGCGGAAUAAUAAGUCAGUGGUGAAAUCUUGCGGCUCAACCGUAAAAUUGCCUUUGAUACUGUUAUUCUUGAGUGCAGUUGAGGUAGGCGGAAUGUGUAAUGUAGCGGUGAAAUGCUUAGAUAUUACACAGAACACCGAUUGCGUAGGCAGCUUACUAAACUGUAACUGACGCUGAGGCACGAAAGCGUGGGGAUCAAACAGGAUUAGAUACCCUAGUAGUCC